rnacentral:tRNA from 1 species
UUAAUUGAAGCCAAAUAGAGGCCUAUCAUUGUUAAUGAUAUUAUUGAGUUAAAAUCACUCCAAUUAAG